AACACGUGGAAACAACAGCUAGUACAGAGUCAGUUACACACGUGGAAACAACAGCUAGUACUACAGAGUCAGUUACAGGCGUGGAAACAACAGCUAGUACAGAGUCAGGUACACACGUGGAAACAACAACUACUACAGGGUCAGGUACAGGCGUGGA